rnacentral:rRNA from 1 species
GAUGAACGCUGGCGGCGUGCUUAACACAUGCAAGUCGAACGAUGAAGCCGGAGCUUGCUCUGGUGAAUUAGUGGCGAACGGGUGAGUAACACGUGAGUAACCUGCCCUUGACUCUGGGAUAACUGCUAGAAAUGGUAGCUAAUACCGGAUACGACCCUCGGAGGCAUCUUCAGGGGGUGGAAAGAAUUUCGGUCAAGGAUGGACUCGCGGCCUAUCAGCUAGUUGGUGAGGUAACGGCUCACCAAGGCGACGACGGGUAGCCGGCCUGAGAGGGUGACCGGCCACACUGGGACUGAGACACGACCCAGACUCCUACGGGAGGCAGCAGUGGGGAAUAUUGCACAAUGGGCGCAAGCCUGAUGCAGCAACGCCGCGUGAGGGAUGACGGCCUUCGGGUUGUAAACCUCUUUUAGUAGGGAAGAAGCGAAAGUGACGGUACCUGCAGAAAAAGCACCGGCUAACUACGUGCCAGCCGCCGCGGUAA